rnacentral:rRNA from 1 species
AGCGAACGCUGGCGGCAGGCUUAACACAUGCAAGUCGAACGGGCACUUCGGUGCUAGUGGCAGACGGGUGAGUAACACGUGGGAACGUACCUUUCGGUUCGGAAUAAUCCAGGGAAACUUGGACUAAUACCGGAUACGCCCUUCGGGGGAAAGAUUCAUCGCCGAUAGAUCGGCCCGCGUCUGAUUAGCUAGUUGGUGAGGUAAUGGCUCACCAAGGCGACGAUCAGUAGCUGGUCUGAGAGGAUGAUCAGCCACAUUGGGACUGAGACACGGCCCAAACUCCUACGGGAAGCAGCAGUGGGGAAUAUUGGACAAUGGGCGCAAGCCUGAUCCAGCCAUGCCGCGUGAGUGAUGAAGGCCUUAGGGUUGUAAAGCUCUUUUGUCCGGGAAGAUAAUGACUGUACCGGAAGAAUAGGCCCCGGCUAACUUCGUG